AUUGAACGCUGGCGGCAGGCUUAACACAUGCAAGUCGAACGGUAACAUAAGAAAAGCUUGCUUUUUUUGAUGACGAGUGGCGGACGGGUGAGUAAUGCUUGGGAAUCUGCCUUAUGGAGGGGGAUAACUACGGGAAACUGUAGCUAAUACCGCAUAAUAUCUACGGAUUAAAGUGUGGGAUCUUCGGACCAUAUACCAUAAGAUGAGCCCAAGUGAGAUUAGGUAGUUGGUGAGGUAAAGGCUCACCAAGCUGACGAUCUCUAGCUGGUUUGAGAGGAUGACCAGCCACACUGGGACUGAGACACGGCCCAGACUCCUACGGGAGGCAGCAGUGGGGAAUAUUGCACAAUGGGCGCAAGCCUGAUGCGGCCAUGCCGCGUGAAUGAAGAAGGCUUUCGGGUUGUAAAGUUCUUUCAUUAGUGAGAAAGGUAUAAAUGUUAAUAGCAUUUGUAAUUGAUGUUAGCUAAAGAAGAAGCACCGGCUAACUCCGUGCCAGCAGCCGCGGUAAUACGGAGGGUGCGAGCGUUAAUCGGAAUAACUGGGCGUAAAGGGCAUGCAGGCGGUUACUUAAGUCAGAUGUGAAAGCCCCGAGCUUAACUUGGGAAUUGCAUUUGAAACUGGGUGACUAGAGUCCUCUAGGGAGGGGUAGAAUUCCACGUGUAGCGGUGAAAUGCGUAGAGAUGUGGAGGAAUACCGAAGGCGAAGGCAGCCCCUUGGAGAGAGACUGACGCUCAUAUGCGAAAGCGUGGGUAGCAAACAGG
rnacentral:rRNA from 1 species